rnacentral:lncRNA from 1 species
CUGACCUGAUGCAAGUGUAACACCAGCACCCAGUCUUACUUGCAACCAAUUCGUAUUGCCUCUAUGAAUCUUUUGCUUUGACUAGGUUCUGUUAUUAGCAAGGUUGUAGUUCUCAGACUAAUACAUUAUGAGACUUUAUCAUCUUCAUUUUAUUAUGAGAGAGUUAACUUGUGUCAACUUUAGUUUUCGUUGCAGGAGAAGUGGGGAAAGAACCUCUUAUCUUUCUUGCCUAUG